UACGUAGGGGGCGAGCGUUGUCCAAGUUACUGGGCGUAAAGCGCACUAGGCGGCUUACAAAGUUGCAUCUAAAAGGCGAACAGCUCAACUGUCGAGUGCGGUGCAAGACUGGUAGGCUUGAGGUCAAGCAAAAGAGUGUGGAACUCCGAGUGUAGCGGUGGAAUGCGUAGAGAUUCGGAAGAACACCCCAAGGCGAAGGCAGCACUCUGGGCUUGAGAAAACGAGAGGCAACUCUCACCUGACGCGU
rnacentral:rRNA from 1 species